AUGCUUAAGGCGGGCUUAAUCACUCCGAGCGUUAGCCCCUUUUCAUCACCAGUGUUGCUAGUCAAAAAUAAGGAUUUGACAUGGCGAUUUUGCGUCGAUUUCAGGCACCUGAACACCAUCAUAGUCAAAAAUACAUACCCUCUACCGGUCAUCGAUGAAUUGCUCGACAAACUAGCCAGUUCCAAGUGGUUUUCCAAGCUCGACCUUCGUGCGGGAUACCAUCAAAUCAGGCUGCGACCAGAAGAUGAGGAAAAAACAGCGUUUAAAACUCAUCAGGGACACUACCAGUUUCAGGUACUGCCGUGCGGGGUAACAGGUGGACCAGCCACGUUCCAAGGAGGCAUG
rnacentral:rRNA from 1 species